ensembl:snRNA U1 U1 spliceosomal RNA
AUUCUGCUACCUGGCAGGGGAGAUACCAUGAUCACGGAGGUGGUUUUCCCAGGGCGAGGCUUAUCCAUUGCACUCCGGAUGUGCUGACCCCUGCGGUUUCCCCAAUUGUGGGAAACUCGACUGCAUAAUUUGUGGUAGUGGGGGACUGGGUUCGCGCUUUCCCCUG